CAGCACCCCGUGUCUAGCUCAGGGUUUGUGAAUGCACCAAUCGACACUCCGUAUCUAGCUAAUCUAGUGGGGACGUGGAGAACUUUUGAGUCUACCUCAGGGAUUAUAGAUGCACCAAUCAACACCCUGUCAAAACGGACCAAUCAGCGCUCUGUAAAACAGACCAAUCAGCUCUCAGUAAAAUGGACCAAUCAGCAGGAUGUGGGUGGGGCCAGAUAAGGGAAUAAAAGCAGGCUGCCGGACCCAGCAGUGGCAAGGCGCUUCGGUUGUCUUCCAUGAUGUGGACGCUUUGUUCUUUUGCUCUUUGCAAUAAAUCUUCCUGUUGCUUUCUUUGGGUCCACACUGCCUUUAUGAGCUGUAACACUCACCGUGAAGGUCUGAAGCUUUACUCUGGAAGCCAGUGAGACCAGGAACCCACCGGGAGGAAUGAACGACUCCAGACACACCGCCUUAAGAUCUGUGACACUCACCGCGAAGGUCUGCAGCUUCAUUCCUGAUCCAGCGAGACCAUGAACCCACCAGAAGGAAAAAACUCCGGACACAUCCGAACGUCUAGAAGAAACAAACUCCAGACACACCGCCUGUAAGAACUGUAACGGUCACCGCGAGGGUCCGCGGUUUCAUUCUUGAAGUCAGUGAGACCAAGAACCCACCAUUUCUGGACACACUACCAUGCCAGAGAUCCAGGGGCUGCAGCAUGCUGAAAGAAAACAGAAGCCUGUGGAGUGAGCCAAGAUCAACCAGGAAAUAAACCCUUUCCCUUGCGAUGUCUCUCCAGCGCCCUCUACUGACAUCAGAAUUGUCUUUGCUGAUCUCUUUAUUAUGAUGAAAAUUCUCUGGAUGGAAGGGUCAUCAGCUGCCGUCUCCUUUGCUACUCUGCUAGAUAUCCUUACAAUUUGGUUUAGAAUUUUAGUACCACUAACAUUUUUUGGUGCAUAUUUUGGAAAUAAAGAAAAGGUAAACUCUUAAAAUACUG
rnacentral:lncRNA from 10 species